CCCAGUGUGACUCGUCACACUAUCAUUAACUGAAUCCAUAGGUUAAUGAGGCGAACCGGGGGAACUGAAACAUCUAAGUACCCCGAGGAAAAGAAAUCAACCGAGAUUCCCCCAGUAGCGGCGAGCGAACGGGGAGGAGCCCAGAGCCUGAAUCAGCAUGUGUGUUAGUGGAAGCGUCUGGAAAGGCGCGCGAUACAGGGUGACAGCCCCGUACACAAAAGCGCAUGUGCUGUGAGCUCGAUGAGUAGGGCGGGACACGUGGUAUCCUGUCUGAAUAUGGGGGGACCAUCCUCCAAGGCUAAAUACUCCUGACUGACCGAUAGUGAACCAGUACCGUGAGGGAAAGGCGAAAAGAACCCCGGCGAGGGGAGUGAAAAAGAACCUGAAACCGUGUACGUACAAGCAGUGGGAGCACCCUUUGGGUGUGACUGCGUA
rnacentral:rRNA from 1 species